rnacentral:rRNA from 1 species
CGACUCUUGACAACGGAUAUCUCGGCUCUCGCAUCGAUGAAGAACGUAGCGAAAUGCGAUACUUGGUGUGAAUUGCAGAAUCCCGUGAACCAUCGAGUCUUUGAACGCAAGUUGCGCCCGAAGCCAUUAGGCUGAGGGCACGUCUGCCUGGGUGUCACACAU